rnacentral:rRNA from 1 species
CUGUAGCAUGGGCGCAGCUGAUCAGCCAUGCCGCGUGAGUGAUGAAGGCCCUAGGGUUGUAAAGCUCUUUCUCCAGGGAAGAUAAUGACAGUAUCUGGUAAAGAAACCCCGGCUAACUCCGUG